CGGAAAAUAGUUUAAUAAAAUAGUAACUUUGGGAGUUACAGACUUAGCACUGCUAA
rnacentral:tRNA from 1 species